rnacentral:ncRNA from 1 species
CAGAGUAGGAAGAUACGUGCUGACCGGGAGGUCUGAGUGCCGCGGGGACGGGGAGUUGCCCCGCGGACGAACGCGCAAGCGGCAGUGUGUCUUCCGCAUCCCGCUGU